rnacentral:rRNA from 3 species
UAUACCGUGAAACUGCGAAUGGCUCAUUAAAUCAGUUAUCGUUUAUUUGAUAGUACCUUACUACUUGGAUAACCGUGGUAAUUCUAGAGCUAAUACAUGCUAAAAACCCCAACUUCGGGAGGGGUGUAUUUAUUAGAUAAAAAACCAAUGCCCUUCGGGGCUCCUUGGUGAUUCAUGAUAACUUCUCAGAUCGCAUGGCUUUACGCCGGCGACGGUUCAUUCAAAUUUCUGCCCUAUCAACUUUCGAUGGUAAGGUAUUGGCUUACCAUGGUUUCAACGGGUAACGGGGAAUUAGGGUUCGAUUCCGGAGAGGGAGCCUGAGAAACGGCUACCACAUCCAAGGAAGGCAGCAGGCGCGCAAAUUACCCAAUUCCGAUACGGAGAGGUAGUGACAAUAAAUACUGAUACAGGGCUCUUUUGGGUCUUGUAAUUGGAAUGAGUACAAUUUAAACCUCUUAACGAGGAACAAUUGGAGGGCAAGUCUGGUGCCAGCAGCCGCGGUAAUUCCAGCUCCAAUAGCGUAUAUUAAAGUUGUUGCAGUUAAAAAGCUCGUAGUUGAACCUUUGGCCUGGCUGGCAGGUCCGCCUCACCGCGUGCACUUGUCCGGCCGGGCCUUUUCUUCUGGAGAACCGCAUGCCCUUCACUGGGUGUGUUGGGGACCAGGACUUUUACUUUGAAAAAAUUAGAGUGUUCAAAGCAGGCCUUUGCUCGAAUACGUUAGCAUGGAAUAAUAGAAUAGGACGUGCGGUCCUAUUUUGUUGGUUUCUAGGACCGCCGUAAUGAUUAAUAGGGACAGUCGGGGGCAUCAGUAUUCAAUUGUCAGAGGUGAAAUUCUUGGAUUUAUUGAAGACUAACUACUGCGAAAGCAUUUGCCAAGGAUGUUUUCAUUAAUCAGUGAACGAAAGUUAGGGGAUCGAAGACGAUCAGAUACCGUCGUAGUCUUAACCAUAAACUAUGCCGACUAGGGAUCGGGCGGUGUUUCUAUUGUGACCCGCUCGGCACCUUACGAGAAAUCAAAGUG